CCAUUACUCUAUUCAAGGUUAUCCAAUAUUCAUGCAUGACGCUUCAGCUUCACUACUAAAUUACUACUAGCAMACUAGCGGUCUAAGCCUAUAUAUAUGCAUGGGUAAUCAGAUAAAGAAUAUGUUCCCACCAAAUUCAUCAAUUCAAACAGGAAACAAAACUCACUUUGUUUUCGUUCGAUAUGGAGCUCCCUSUCUGCAUCACUCUCAUGAUCUCGCUUCUCUUGGUCAUGUUUGCGAGUACAACAGAGUCCAGAAAAGAAUUGAAAGAUCAUUGGUUCAAGAAUGUGAUGGAAGAUGAGUCAUUGCCUAAUUUAAAGUCACUUUUUCCUGAAAGUGAAAAGCUUUUCAUUAACGAGCUUGAACCAAAGCACUGACAAUGCUUUACUUGCCUAUAAAAUGGAACGAUCAUCUCCCACAUUCUUUCAGAAAAAACCAGCUUCCAUUAAAGCUAUA